UACGAAGGGGGCUAGCGUUGCUCGGAAUCACUGGGCGUAAAGAGCUCGUAGGCGGCUCGUCGCGUCAGCUGUGAAAACCCGCGGCUUAACUGUGGGCUUGCAGCUGAUACGGGCGGGCUAGAGUUCGGUAGGGGAGACUGGAAUUCCUGGUGUAGCGGUGAAAUGCGCAGAUAUCAGGAGGAACACCGGUGGCGAAGGCGGGUCUCUGGGCCGAUACUGACGCUGAGGAGCGAAAGCGUGGGGAGCGAACAGG
rnacentral:rRNA from 1 species